ACGACCUUACUUGAACAGGAUCUGUUCUAUAGGAUCGUACCUCUGAAUCCUUGAGUUCUAAGGAGACAGGAAACUAAGUCUGGUGGAUGAUUUACGACCGUGUGAUUAGAGCGUGAUUAACAGCUACCAUUUGAUCCUUCGUGAUCCCCUGGUGCAGUAGAUGAUCGUUCUCAUGCUCCUCUGCGAUCUUGAGAUGAUCACACGGUGUUCUGACAGACU
rfam:Beta vulgaris subsp. vulgaris Bvchr2.sca001.con0062.1, whole genome shotgun sequence.